rnacentral:lncRNA from 10 species
GUGGGAGAGAUUAAGCUGAAGGGAGGUCUUGUGGUAAGGGGUGAUAUUGUGGGGAUGUUAGAAGAAAUGUUUGUCGUAUAGAAUGAUUGGCGAUGGCCUGGAUACGGUUUUGGAUGAAUUGAGAAACUGGAAUAAGAGAAGGAGAAAAACAGGUAUAAAAGGUCUAAGAAUUGGGACGACUCAGGAUAUCUGAUUAGAGAGUGCCUAAGGAGAUUCAGCAUAGUCCUGCCAGCAAAGAUUAUUUAUUUACUUCAAGAGUUAAGAGUGGCAGUUUGGGGAUAGCACCAGGAGAUAUCAGCUGUGACGGCUUGGAAAAACAGUGUAAACCGGCAGUGUAAACAAGAGCAGGGCACGUAUGAGUAGUUGAGAACGGUGACUAGGAGUAUGACUAGACAGAAGAUAGUAGGGAUGACAAUUUUUUUGGAGCACCGUCCAAGUUGGUCUGGUGUCUGGAAUGAGACUGGGACCUAAUAAAAAGGAGCGUCUAUACAGGAGCUCAAAUGGGCUGUACCCCGUAGCAUUCCGAGGACAGGCCUGAAUUCUGAGAAGGGAAAGUGGUAAAAGUAUUGUCCAGUCCUUUUUAAGUUGGUGGCUGAGCUUGGUGAGGUGUGUUUUUAAAAGACCUUUAGUCUAUUCUACUUUUCUUGAAGACGGAGGACCGUAAGGGAUAUAAAGGUUUCACUGAAUACUAAGAGCCUGAAAUACUGCUUGGCUGAUUUGACUAAUAAAGGCUCGUCUGUUAUCAGACUGUAUUGAGGUGGGAAGGCUAAACUGAGGAAUUAUGUCUGACAGAAGGGAAGAAAUGACUGGAGUGGCCUUCUCAGACCCUGUAGGAAAGGCCUCUACCUAUCCAGUGAAAGUAUCUACCCAGACUAAGAGGUAUUUUAGUUAUCUUACUUGGGGCAUGUUGAGUAAAGCUAAUUUGCCAGUCCUGGGUGGGGCAAAUCCUCGAGCUUGAUGUGUAGGGAAGGGAGGGGGCCUGAAGAAUCCCUGAGGAGUAGUAGAAUAGCAGAUGGAACACUGAGAAGUUAUUUCCUUGAGGAUAGAUUUCCACGAUGGAAAGGAAAUGAGAGGUUCUAAGAGGCGGGCUAGUGGCUUGUACUAUAGCAUAACCUGCCUUUGCUGGUGUGUGGCGAUUAGGCCUGGUGGAACCGCCAUCAAUAAAUCAAGCGUGAUCACGGUGAGGAACAGGAAAGAAGGAAAUCUGGGGAAAUGGGGUGAAUGUCAGGUGGAUCAGAGAGAUACAGUCAUGGGGGUCAGGUGUGGUAUCAGGAAUAAUGUGGGAGGCCGGAUUGAAGUCUGGGCCAGGAACAUCGGUAAUUGUGGGAGACUCAACAAAGAGUGAGUACAGCUGAAGGAGCCGGGAAGCAGAAAGUAUAUGCGUCAGGUAUGAGGAAGAAAAUAGAUUUUGGAAGUUAUGAGAACUGUACAGAGUGAGUUGAGCAUAGUUUGUGAUUUUGAGGGCCUCUAAAAGUAUUAAUGCAGCGGCAGCCACUGCACGCAGACAUGAGGGCUAGGCUAAAACAGUAAGGUCAAGUUGUUUGGACAGAAAGGCUACAGGGUGUGGUCCUGGCUCUUGUGUAAGAAUUCUGACCACGCUAACCAUGCCUAGGAAGGAAAGGAGUUGUUUUGUAGAAGGUGCUGGGGUUUGAGAGAUCAGUUGGACACGAUUGGCAGGGAGAGCACGUGUGUUUUUAUGAGAAUUAUGCCGAGAUAGGUAACAGAUGAGGAAGAAAUUUGGACUUGAUUGAAGUAAUGGGGGCUGUCUGUGAAGCUUUGCAGCAGUAUAGCCUAGGUAAUUUGCUGAGCUUGAUGGGUGUCAGGGUCAGUCCAAGUGAAAGUGAGGAGAGGCUGGGAUUAAGGGUGCAAAGGAAUAGUAAAGAAAGCAUGUUUGAGAUCUAGAACAGAAUAAUGGAUUAUAGAGGCAGGUAUUGAGGAUAGGAGAGUAUAUGGGUUUGGCACCACAGGGUGCCAAAGGUGGGAUAGGCAAAACAAUUUGGUUGAUAAGGUGCAGAUCCUGAACUAGCUUGUAAGGCUUGUCUGGUUUUAGGACAAGUAAAAUGGGGGAAUUAUAAGGAGAGUUUAUAGGCUUUAAAAGGCCAUGCUGUAGCAGGCGAGUGAUAACAGGCUUUAAUCUUUUUAAAGCGUGCUGCGGGAUGGGAUAUUGGCGUUGAGUGGGGUAAGGGUGAUUAGGUUUUAAUGAGAUGGUAAGGGGUGCAUGAUCGGUCGCCAAGGAGGGAGUAGAAGUAUCUUAUACUUGUGGGUUAAGGUGGGGGGAUACAAGAGGAGGAUGCAAAGGAGGCUUUGGAUUGGGAAGAAGGGCAGCAAUGAGAUAUAGCUGUAGUCCAGGAAGAGUCAGGGAAGCAGAUAAUUUAGUUAAAGUGUCUCAGCCUAAUAAGGGAACUGGGCAGGUGAGGAUAACUAAAAAGGAGUGCUUAAAAGAGUAUUGUCUAAGUUGGCACCAGAGUUGAGGAGUUUUAAGAGGUUUAGAAGCCUGGCCGUCAAUACCCACAACAGUUAUGGAGGCAAGGGAAACAGGCCCUUGAAAAGAAGGUAAUGUGGAGUGGGUAGCCUCCGUAUUGAUUAAGAAGGGGACGGGCUUACCUUCCACUGUGAGAGUUACUGGAAGCUAGGCAUCCUUGAUGGUCUAGGGGGCUUCCGAGGCGAUUGGGCAGUGUCAGUCUUCAGCAACUAAGCCGAGAAGAUCUGGGAAGGAGUCAGUCAGAGAGCCUUGGGCCAGAAUUCCAGGGGCUCUGGGAGUGGCUGCCAGGUGAGUUGGACAGUCCGAUUUUCAGUGGGGUCCCACACAGAUGGGACGCGGCUUAGGAGGAAUCCUGGGCUGCAGGCAUUCCUUGGCCUGGGGGUCAGAUUUCUGGCACUUGUAGCAAGCUCCUGUGGGAGGAGGUUCUGGAGGAAUGCCUGGCAGCUGCGGUUCAGGCGUUUGGAAGUUCUUGUGUGCUGGAGAUGUGGCUGGGAUUUGUCUCACAGAGGAGCCUCUCUCUCAUCGGAUGGUGAAGAUACUUCCCUAAAGCUCCCAUCCGACCACAUCAUUCCUCUGCUCAGAUCCUUUGAUGGAUGCUUGUAAGAGGAAAGAUGGUUCCUGUUUAUUCACCAGAUAGGGUUCCAGGGGUGAUGCCAAGUGCCUGAUGGAAAGACGAAUGUCAAGGAGCCUGCAGGCCACUCAGCAGCAAGGCAGGAAUGCAUCGUGGAGGCAGGACCAUGACCUCUGUUGGGGAGCAGAUGCUGGAGAACAGCUCCGACUCCUCCCAGCACUGAUGCUGCCUUCCCACGAGCACCUGUGGAUUCCUCCCAGCCUGGCUCCUGCUUUGACUGCAGGAUUUGCUCCGUCUCCUCUCCAAUGAUGCCUCCAUCUUUGCUCAGGUCUGAAUUCUCAUUACCCUUCCCUCCAGCCCCCAGCUCAGACAUGAUCUCCUUUCUGGCUUCUCCUGAGGUUUAAUAGCUGUCCGUCCUCUCCCUGCCCCAGACAUUUCCUGAUAUGACCAGGCAGAACUCCCCAGCUGCUCUUCCAGGAGAGAAGCUCUGUCAAUCCAUCAUGAUAACCUCUCAGUGUCUCGCACAGCGUGGGCUUCAAUUCAUAUAUGUGGAAAUUGGGCAAAAAUUGAGAAAGUCCCCGUGGAAAGAGUUGUCUGAGGAGGUGACAAAGGAAGGCUUAAUAUAAUAGAGCUCCCCUUCCCAGGGGUUAUGUUACAAGACUCCCCAGUGGAUGCAUGGAACCUCAGAUCGUACCGAACCCUAUUGUCUGAGUCUGUUCUUGUUGCUCUAAAGGAAUACAGAAGGCUGGCAAUUUAUAAAGGAAAGUGGCUUCUUUGGCUCAUGAUUCUGAUGGCUGGAAAAUGUCAAGAUCGGGCAUUAGCAUCUGGCAAGGACCACGGGCUGCUUCCACUCUCAGUAGAAGGUGAAGGGAGCCAGUGAGUGCAGAAGUUAUGCCCGAGAGAGGAGGCAAGGGAGAGAGGGGAGGUGCCAGGCUCUUUUUAACAGCCAGCUCUCAAGGGAACUAACAGAGCAAGAACUCCCCACUCUCUCAGGGGAGGGCAUUAAUCUAUUCCCGAGGGAUUCGCCCCCAUGACCCAAGCACCUCCCAUUAGGCUCCACCUCCAACAUUGGGGAUCAAAUUUCAACAUGCAGUUUGCAGGACAAACAUCCUAACGAUAACGCCUACGGGCCUCUAUGUUGCUGUUUCCUCUGCACAUACAUACCUAAUACGAAGUUGAGUUAAUAAAUUGGGCACAGUAAGAGAUUAACAAUAACAAUAAAAUAGAACAAUUUAUGACAAUAUA